rnacentral:rRNA from 1 species
UACAGAGACUGCAAGCGUUAUUCGGAUUCACUGGGCGUAAAGGGUGCGUAGGUGGGCAGUUAAGUCAGUGGUGAAAUCUCCGGGCUCAACCCGGAAACUGCCAUUGAUACUAUCUGUCUUGAAUAUCGUGGAGGUAAGCGGAAUAUGUCAUGUAGCGGUGAAAUGCUUAGAUAUGACAUAGAACACCAAUUGCGAAGGCAGCUUACUACCCGAAUAUUGACACUGAGGCACGAAAGCGUGGGGAUCAAACAGG